rnacentral:rRNA from 1 species
UCCUUACCGUGCAGUCGAACGAUGACGGUGGUGCUUGCACCGCCUGAUUAGUGGCGAACGGGUGAGUAACACGUGAGUAACCUGCCCUCCACUUCGGGAUAACCUCGGGAAAUCGUGGCUAAUACCGGAUAUGAGCACUCAUCGCAUGGUGGGUGUUGGAAAGAUUUAUCGGUGGGGGAUGGACUCGCGGCCUAUCAGUUUGUUGGUGAGGUGAUGGCUCACCAAGACGAUGACGGGUAGCCGGCCUGAGAGGGCGACCGGCCACACUGGGACUGAGACACGGCCCAGACUCCUACGGGAGGCAGCAGUGGGGAAUAUUGCACAAUGGGCGAAAGCCUGAUGCAGCGACGCCGCGUGGGGGAUGACGGCCUUCGGGUUGUAAACCCCUUUCAGUAGGGAAGAAGCGAGAGUGACGGUACCUGCAGAAGAAGCGCCGGCUAACUACGUGCCAGCAGCCGCGGUAAUACGUAGGGCGCAAGCGUUGUCCGGAAUUAUUGGGCGUAAAGAGCUUGUAGGUGGCUUGUCGCGUCUGCCGUGAAAACCCGAGGCUCAACCUCGGGCGUGCGGUGGGUACGGGCAGGCUAGAGUGUGGUAGGGGAGACUGGAACUCCUGGUGUAGCGGUGAAAUGCGCAGAUAUCAGGAAGAACACCGAUGGCGAAGGCAGGUCUCUGGGCCAUUACUGACACUGAGAAGCGAAAAGCAUGGGUAGCGAACAGGAUUAGAUACCCUGGUAGUCCAUGCCGUAAAACGUUGGGCACUAGGUGUGGGGGACAUUCCACGUUUUCCGCGCCGUAGCUAACGCAUUAAGUGCCCCGCCUGGGGAGUACGGCCGCAAAGGCUAAAACU